GUAUCACAGGAUGGAUGGAUAAAC
rnacentral:snRNA from 1 species